GGCAAAUAAAGUUGGUUGUAGCAAAAUAAACAUGAAUAUAGUCAAUAUACAAAAGCUUAAGCCUUUUGUACCUACCUACUCCGCUGUCUCCAAUCAGAACGACUUUAAAUAAGUACGUAUAUGUUUCUUCCUCAGCUUUGGACAUAAUGAUACAGUGAACACCUCUAACUUCGAGCUGAUAAGCUCUUUAAUUUUUUCACGUUACUCUGAGCCAAGUAUUAUAUCUCGAAACGAAUGUACCGACAAAUAGUUUAAUAUAUUGUGUGUUUCUUCUCGACUAAUAAACGCCUGUCUGUCGUUCGCUU